GUAGCCUAGACAACAGAUCAACAGAAGAUAAGAGAAGAGAAGAGACUGCUGUAAACGAACGGGUUGGGGGAGGCUCCAAGAAGAAGAAGAAGAAGACGACAGUUAACAGUUUGUGUUGUAGAAGCAAACCUUUGAAGUGGAUGUCGGUGUUCGCACGCCUGAACACCCCGCUGAUCAGGAGGAGGAGAGAGAUGUCUACUACUGCAAAAGAAUGGAGAUGCUAGCUAGAUGGAAGGCGAUCUGAAGAAAACCGGGGAUGGACUCCAUCCAGACUGCUUACGCAUUGUGUAAACGGCAUCGACUUGUAAUCGCUCCAUUCCAGAGCUUGGCCUUUGCCUUUUACCCCUCUGAUGCUGUCGUGCUCUUCCUGCAGAUCCAGCAAACGUCUGGAAUAAAUAUAUAUAUUUUUUUCCACAUGUUCGAAAGCAAGUUCUUGGCAUGUUGCUGUUGAUGGGGGUGAGAAGGAAUAAAGAAAGGCACUUUGUUUUAUGGAA